rnacentral:sRNA from 1 species
AUGCUCGGUGGGGCUCUAUCACUUGCACAUGUCAGCUUCUGUGGGACGUCCACACCUACCUGACGAUUGCUUGCUAGGUUUUGUUAGCC